rnacentral:rRNA from 1 species
GACAGAGGAUGCAAGCGUUAUCCGGAAUGAUUGGGCGUAAAGCGUCUGUAGGUGGCUUUUAAGUCCGCCGUCAAAUCCCAGGGCUUCAACCCUGGACAGGCGGUGGAAACUACCAAGCUGGAGUACGGUAGGGGCAGAGGGAAUUUCCGGUGGAGCGGUGAAAGUGCGUGAGAGGAUCGGAAAGAACACCAACGGCGAAAGCAACUCUGCUGGGCCGACACUGACACUGAGAGACGAAAGCUAGGGGAGCGAAUGGGAUUAGAACUACCGAGUCAGUCCAAGACC